AAGUGGCUAUACAUCGUCAAAAAUUACAUUAGCUGGAGGCAAAAUGUCGCUCCGUAUUUGUUCGUCUAAAUACCUGUGGAUCACCUGUUAUCCCGGGUUCAGCUCAUUGCCACUGAGGAAGCAAAGUAUCAAAGGUUCGACUUGCGGACGGUGGCUGUCGCACACAGGUGCUCACCGGCGGCCAUUGGAGGGCGUGAGAGUCCUGGACCUGACCCGGGUCCUGGCUGGACCCUUUGCCACCAUGAUGCUGGGAGACCUGGGUGCCGAGGUCAUCAAAGUGGAAAAACCAGGUACAGGUGAUGACACCCGAGCGUGGGGUCCCCCCUUUGUUGGCCCGGAAAGCGUCUACUUCCUCAGCGUCAACCGCAAUAAAAAAAGUGUUGCAGUGGACCUCAAACAUCCCAGAGGAGCAAAGCUCAUCCAGGAGCUUGCAGGGGUGUGUGACGUGUUGAUGGAGAACUUCCUGCCAGGCAAACUUGCUCUGAUGGGUUUAGGAUACGAGGAGCUCAGCAGACGCAACCCGGCGUUGAUCUACUGCUCCAUUUCAGGUUAUGGCCAAACGGGUCCUCAGAAUCAGAGUCCAGGUUACGACUCCAUUGCCUCCGCUGUGUCGGGCAUGAUGCACAUCACCGGGACGGAGGAUGGCGAGCCCGUUCGCCCCGGUGUAGCUAUGACGGACCUGGCGACUGGAUUGUAUGCGCAUGGGGCCGUCAUGGCAGCCCUUCUGCAGCGACACCAUACGGGGAGGGGCGCUCACAUCGACUGUGACCUACUGUCCUCUCAGGUGUCGUGUCUCAGCCAUGUUGCUGCCAACUUCUUGAACGGUGGGAAGAAGGCAAAGCGCUGGGGGACGGCCCACGAGAGUAUCGUUCCCUACCAGGGAUUCAGAACCAAAGACGGACACGUGGUAAUAGCAGCAGGAAAUGACCAGCAGUUUGUGAAAGUGUGUCAGGUUCUACAGCUUCCGGAGCUCACCCAGCGGCCAGAAUACAAAACGAACAAGCUCAGAGUCCAAAACCGUCAAGGCCUUGUGCACACAUUAUCCCAGAGAUUUCUGCAAGAGACGACAGCUGAUUGGCUGAGAAAGUUUGAGGGCUCAGGUGUUCCUGUCGGGCCAAUCAACAGCAUCCAGGAGGUCUUUUCUGACCCACAGGCGAGCGCACACACACACACACUUAGUACAAAUUGGGGCAUUUGAGGAGACACAGACACAUUAUAUGUCCUUGUUGUGUCCUGUGUAGAACAAUAUCGGAAAAAUGUAACUGUGUGUGUGCGAGCGUAUCUAUGUCUGUUCAUCACACUGUCCCUCAACAUGUAGUAAAAACCGCAUUAGUCACUUUGCAGACUCCAAUAACAGAGUGAUCCUGCACAAGUGUGUGCAGAACAAAGCGACAGGACAUAUGGCAUGCGUGCAUGGCAGCGUGAUGGAGAGAACGCCCGGGGUUAAACGCUGCAGUGUGAAAACAACAUGCUAAUGUUAGCAUGUUAGUCACCAACAUGUAACUGCAGAAUGUUCCUGCGUGUUCCCAGGCUUGCAACAAGUUUUGAGUUCAAUCAUUUCUGGACAACAGCUCCUGCUGCCACCUGGCACGGCGCUGUCUUAUAAAGGCUAUGAUUCAGUGUGUGUGUGUGUGUGUGUGUGUGUGUGUGUGUGUGUGUGUCAGACAAAUCAGUUAGUCUGCCUCUUGAAACACCAACUUGUUUUUUUUUCAUCCCUCUUGUUGGUCGAGACACACCUCGGAGUGGACCAUGUGCCCUGAGUUCUGCUUCACAGCCUGAACAGCUGAGAGAAAAGUCAUAUGUGUGAGGAGUCUUGAUACACGACUGAAUAUGUGCAAGAAAAAGUAGUUUUACAGUUUUGGGCGAGAACUGUCCUUAUCUUCAUCCAAUUUAGAGGCUGUUUGGUUUUAAUAUUCAGUUUGAAUGAGCUAUUAAUCAUUGUCAACAUGCGCUCCUCCAACAUCGCUUGAGUCCAGCUCACCUUGGCUGACUGUAUUUCACCCUGAUAGAAAGGUACACACUAAUCAGGUAAAUAUGCUUUACUGUCCUCAGGGUGGCGUUAUGAUGCACUUUUAUAUAGACUAACCAUGUUAGAAAGUAGCUCGGUAACUUGUGCUAACCUUUGUUGACCAUACAUGCUUUUUGUGACUCGAAAUGAAGCUUCGCUGUGUGCUGUGAAGCGUGUGUUUUGGUGGUAGCUCCGCUGCUGGCAGUCGAGAUGUGGCCGCCCUGAAGCUCAAAGUCUGGAAGUCAUUUGGCGAGCGCCGUUCUCUCUCUCGUCACUGUUGGCCACGGCGCUCUCGUUCUCCGCUUCCUGUCCGUCGCUUUCAUCCGCCUCUUCGCGUCAGACAUUUUCAUUUUCCAUUUCUUCAGCUUUGCAUGUCGGACGGCGGUGUCUCAUGCUGAUUCCCAUCAACCACUGGAAAUCCUACGAUACCUGUGCACCUCAGCUGUUGAGUGCUUACUUUAUUUACACCCAGCUGAUCCGCAACCUCAAUUUGACUCAAGCGGCGGCGUGUCUUGAACAUUUACACAAGCAAAGCUCACCUGCAGAUACGCUUUUGCACAAGCUUGUUUCUCACUGGUCCACAUUCACUUCAUGUCUCUCUCUCUAGAGAGAGAGAGAGGUCAGCACAGCUUCUCACCUUUACGACUGCAGGCCCUCCAUCCAUGUAGCUGUCAUGUCCUCUGGGCCUGAGCCCGGUUCUGCAGCAAAUAUGCAACUAAAUAUGGCUUUAAUAUCCUGACUACUGGAGGUGUGUGUGAUUUAUCCCAGCUGAAAGCUAAACAGCCUCUGAAGUGGAUAGUGGAUAUAAAUCAGCUGAUGUCUGGCAGCCUUUCCACUCCGCUUUCACUUCAGCUAAACAAGCAAGCAAAGAAUUUAACUUGCACCCCCAGAACUAGAACAUCCGAGGUCUGGGCUUGUCCUCGGGGUCUUUCUGCCUGCUCUGCAUCACUUCACUGCACUGACCCACAGAGAAAAUCAUGAAUGCCUUGCUCAAGGGAACAAAUGUCACCCCUUUUUGCCUUUUUUGGCUUUUGAACCUGUGAUGAGCCCCAGCAUAUGUACCUUUGCUCAGCGUUGUAUUUGAAAUACAGUCUUUUGCUUCUCUUUCGGGCUGUUUGUCUCUUUGCUUGGACACGGCCGCUAUAAAUAAACUUUAUUACUGUCUGGAAACUGUCAAAUAAAGCUAAGUUGCAGUAAAAUGUUGCUGCGGUGUCUUCCAGUGAGAUUCUGGGUCGCAAGGACCUCACACCGUCUCCUGGAAGCGCAGCUCGACUCGACAUCUUCCUUUUGAAGGUCACAGAGGUGGACCCUUCAGGAUCCAUCCAAGGUCAGGUUGGAGAGUUCACUGUGGUGUCACCAAGAGAAUAUGGUUGGAAUCUCAGCUCUCAGUAUUUCACAUCAUCUUUGCCACCAAGUCGUCUUACAUCUUCAUCAUCUACUAUCUUCUUCUGCUAUGGCUCACCAACGUCAGAGUGGCUGUGACCAGUGCUUGGGACGAUCCUGAUCCUGAUCUCCUCACAAGUCGCAUCAUUUCUAUAUGGUUCUCUUCACUCCGUGUUACUAAAAGAAAGACUCCUUGAGUACCGAAGUGGAACUCCUGCACUCAUCUCGUGUCAGAUGAACCUGCAUUGAAGCGGCUUGUCCACCUGUCAGCACUCUGAGCGCUGUACAACCUGUUCCCUCUUUACAGUAAUUGGUGUCCGUCCAAGCAGAGGCUGCUUGUUUCUAAAGACACUUGUACCUCAAUUGUACCUCACAGAACAAUGACACUGACGUGUUCAUGGCUGUGCUGAUAUUGGAACCCUCAGAUGAGUAAUGAAGACAUCAUUGAGGCCAACAUCUUCAGUCAUAUUUUUAGGAGCAGAUUUAGCGAAGAGUGGUCCUCCUGGUUUUGCUCAUGUAUUCUGCUGAGGAGGAACCUGCUGUUGUUCUUAACAUCCUGCAGAGCUUGACUCUCCUGCUCGACAACAUCACACGCCACGGAGGUGAAAAGAUGAAGUACUGUUGAAACAGCUGGACCUGCACACAGAUAGCAGCGUCAUGUUUGGACCCCUCAAGAGAUGACAUCAUUCCAGGUUAGAAUCAUGUCAAAACACGAGAGGCUUACACGGUUUAUCCUACUCCAUCAGUUACUAUGGCGAUGCUUUCCUGGCGGAAUCCAAAAACGAGGUCCCGGCGAGGCCACGCAAGUUAGGUGAUGUGUGAGACUUUAGGUAAUCAGAGAGGAAGGAGGAUGUGAUGUAAGCAGAUAAUCACCGGGUGGAAAGAACCUGUGGAACAUAUGAAGACGUGAGAGGGACGAUUGAUCAUCCCCAGGUACGCUUCGACCAGCUGACACAACCGCAUGGAAAAAACAAUAAGGCUAACCACAUAAAGAAUAUUCCAACAUGUUGGCGAUGUGCGCUGCCAGGGCGAUGAGAUGCUAACUGGUCAUUAGCAGUAGAUUACGAUGGAUGUGUGUUGGCUUAGAACGCAUCCUCCAAGAACUUCUCACAUCCAAUUGUGGAAAACAUCUGCUCAUGGCUCUGUGAUGGAACCCAAAUAGAUGAGAUAAAUAUCAGCACGUGGCUUUGUCAAGCAGCACUGACCUUUGCGGACCUGCUGACCGGCUCAUACAGAAGCACUGUGACAAAUAUUUGCGCAGGAGGAGUGAAAGGUGGAGAACUCGUCGACAAUGUUGAUUGGAACAUUUGUUUUUCAUGAAAAACUGCUUCAAUGAGACAUUUUUCCCCAGAAGGAAAACAUCCUGCCAUGAAACUUAGGCCUGAUCACACAAGCAGACCCACUGUGUCAGUCCAAGCAAAAUCUCAAGUGUUCUUAUUGUGCUGGACCCAAAGAGAGUUCAUGUUGACCUUCAUGGUCACUUAUCUGAUUUCUAAAAUAAAGUCAGUCUGCUUAUUCUGCAACCCAGUAACCUGAUGGAGAUUUCCAAAUCAUGAAAACAAACUCAAAAGAACCUAAGAAGGCGGAAAUAAAUAUCGGUUUGGUUGAAAGUUUGAAUGUGAUGGAAUCAAACAUGACACCAACAUGAAACAUCCUAGUUGGCUGACCUCAGACAUCUCCACAGGCAUUGAAAACGGCCACUUGACACAAUCUCUUCUCCAGUUACGCAUCAUCAGUCAUCUUGUUUGGGCUCGUGAGUGCUCAGCUCACCUGUGAAACCACCUGUGUACCGUCAUGGAGUCAAACCCUCAUCCUCCCGUGCUGAGCGCCACGCAGCGCUGCUGGUAGCUCAGGCAGGAAUGCACAUAAUGAAAUGAAAAUGUGUCUGCAUACUUUCCCAUGGAAGACGCCGGAGGAGGGAGGAGGCUCCAAUUAAAGGGUGACACUAUAAACAGACGGCUGGUCAUCGGGAAUGGACUGAGUGGCAAACAAAAGCAGCGAGGAAGAAAGAGAGGAAAAAUAUGCGGCUGUUUGUAUUUCACAUGUUAUUUUUGGAUAUUUGCAGCCGCUGAAAGGUGUUUUUAUGUAACUGAAGUCCGCUAACGAGCUCAAAUACCAAAAUACAAAGACCACAGGACAAAGCAGAGUCUCUAUUUUUGACUCAUCUUGUGCUUGUUAAGCCGAAUGCAAAUGAGGCCACAAGGUGCCAUCAAGGUCACGUGAUGUGCCCCAAACCCAAACAUCUCGUGGUGCAGAGGCCAAGUUCAUGACAUCACCAGGAAGAAGCCCCGCACUCAUGCCUGUUGAGCUGGUUUUAGCAUUUGCCUUACACCCCAAGGUGACCUUUUAAUGUCAGCUUUGUAUCCUCCAUCGACUACUCAACAAGUGAGUUAGCGUGUUGAUCCAACAUCAUCAUGCGCCCGUAUGAUGAUGGAUUUCCAGGAUUGGAAAGUUUUAACGAAAGAUGAGUCGCUGGAACUCAGUGUAGCGCUGUCAAGUCUGGCUGCUUUCACAACAUUAGUCAAAUGAAGAUGAUGACAACUAGAUAUACGUUCCGGAGUCCAGCAAACAUACACGCGGGAGGUCAGUUGGACUAAGUAGAACAGGAAUUCAGUUUAAGUUCAUCAAACUUGUUUUUCUUGAACAUUCCCAGAAGACCUUCACAGCGAUUCCCCUUAAUUGCGCCACCGCAGAUCUUCUAUCACUGUGUGGAUAACAUUCCACUGAAUGAUUACACUUGGAAGGAAACCUAAAGCUUUCAAAAACGUGGUCGUAUCCCUCCCCUCACCCUCCACUGUUCCACAUCCGUAGGCCGCAACUUCUCAAACCACAAGAGGCUUCACUUUAAAAUGAGCUCCUGUGUGCACAUGAUAUAUGUUCAGAUGCAGCAUGAGUCCUGAUGGACAUGUGACGGACCACCAUCUGCUCAGAGGCCUCCCUGUUGCUUUGCUGCACGCUCCGAUGUGGGAUCUUCACGUCCCAUGCAUCAAGUUCCGUGGUUGGGUUGUCCACAUUUUCCCUCGGAUCCAUAACGUUGGCUCACGAGCUUCCUGAAAAGGACAUGUUUAGAUACUUCUCACAUAUUUGUCCUCAGUUGCCUCCUUCCAACAUUUUGGAAUUGGAUAAUUGCUUUUUUGUGUUGUUAAGGAGCCUUAUACAUGAAAGAGGCGGGGUUUGUGUCACCCUUAAAAGAAGACAAUGGAGCUCAACAAUGUGGCUUGGCGAAGUGGUCAAAGUUCACGCUGGAGGUAAAGAAGAAGAAACAGGUGGGACCGGGCCCUACCGGACGUGGUGAUGCGUCUUGGCUUCUCAUACGGCAAAGUUUGAAGUAAACAGGCCUGAUGAAGAGCAUUAUUCAUGUGUGGAGACCCAGCUUUAUGCAAGGCAUCCAUCCACAAGUCGGAGCUGCUUUGAUAGUCGAGGUCAAAGCCAGAGCAGCAGGUUCAAGCAACCUCAGAUCUUCUUCGUCGUCGCUGAGCACACACGUCCCCCUCCUCCUCGCCCCCCUUGCCUUGAUGUUGCACUAACGUGAUGUAACAAGCAAGCCUGGAUGCUCCCGUGGGGGCUGCUUAGUCGACUUAAUGGACUGCCACACUUAGCUUCAAAGGCUCCCAAGGGUGCGGGGGGUGGGGGUGUACAGAGGCGUGAAAAGAGACGAAGGUGAAGAAGUCAUCAUCUGAGUUGGCCUCGGUUGUGUCGCAGCGAGAUGAGGUUUGAACGACUGUACGCAUCAUGUCAGUCUUUUCCAGCGGGGAGGGGUCACAUGGGGCGUCAUGGCUCUGGCAGGUUGUAGCUGCAUCGCUUAUUCAAGCCAUGGUGGAAAAGUCAUGCACGCCCACAUACAGUAGGGGAAAUAAAUAUUUGAUCGACUCCUGAUUUUGUAAGUUCAAGCCCUUAAGAAUAUGAAUGUUCCAGAGACGGGAUGUAAAAAAAAUAACCAGAAAACCCCCAAUAAACACAAUUAAGCACACAAAUUAGUCCUGUCACUUUUAGGAAAGUAAUCCUGAACUCAACUGAGCUUAACGCAGCAAAAAAACCAAACCCCAGGAGUGUUGGCGUGUGGACAAGGCCUCAUAGAAGAAUGACAAGGGAGGAGGUGGAUAAUGACGUCAAGAGAGUUGGGAGUGCAGUAAGCGACAAAAGCAUUCGUAACACACUGUAAUGGAUUGAGAUAUGGCAGUGCCCUCAAGGUCUCCCUGCUCAAGAAGACACAUCUAUCGGCCCAUAUGAACGUUUCACAAGCAACACCUGAUAAAUAAAGGCUUUGCUGAACCGUGAUGUGGUCAGAUGAGAGAAAAACUGAGCUCUUUGGCAUCAACUCGACUCGCCGUGUUUGUAGGCAGAGGAAUGGUGAAUAUGAGUCCAACAACACCAUCCGUGCUGUCAAACGUGGAGGUGGAAACAUUGUGCUUUGGGGCCGUGGUGAACACUGGUGACCGACUGCAAGAAAUGGUGGACCUCUGUGCAUGUCAACAAGGUUUUCUACUGGGAAUUAUUUACCCCAAUCAAAUACAAAUUGCAAAUGAAGUUCUGUGGAAGUUUAAUCACCCCUUGUGAUAGAAGUAAUUCCCUCUUCAUAUUUAUCUGUCAUGCAGUCUGAAGAAUUGGUCGUCAUUCAUCUCCUUGUCAUCGAGCUAAGGAUCUGUCACUCAAGCACCAAUGAUGUGCUUGUGAUGCAUGCGGCUGCAUGCCAACCAUACAGAUGCUCGCUCCAUUUGAAACAGCCUGGUGUGCACGAGUGAAGUAAGGAUGAAAGUGGUGGAAAAGAAGAGAUGGAGAGGGAGGAGAGCAGGAAGUCAGCGGGCAUGCGGCCCAAAACCGCGACUCACCAUAAAUUGAUGACCUCUGUUCACCGAUGCCCGCAUGCGUGGCACAGGUGUGAGACAGGAGCACCAUUAGAAGAUGAAGACUCAUCUUUUUCACUUUGAUCUUCCUGACUUUUUGACUGCAAUUCUUUUUUGUUUGGAUGACGAGCUGGAAAACCUCUUGAGUGGAACAAGAGUUGUGUGUGAUGGCCAUAUGGAUGUAAUGAUACCCUGCAUAACAAGCAGAUAGCAUGGCACACACACAUGCAUGUAAUCACCAGUGUGCACACACAUCAAACACACACAUGCACACACAUACACACUCACACAUUAGGAUUCUGCAGGGAGGAUCAAACCGGGGAACUUGUGAGUCAGUAGACAAAACCAAAAUGAUUGUGUGAGUUUCUCACACUGUCAAGAUACAUAAGUCCAUUUAAAUGGAGACUUUGUUCUAUGACACGUUCUAUCACCCUGAAGAUGAUUUCCGCCGCUUUUCAACCUCAUCUGGACUGCAUCUGGACAAGCUUUGGUACAAUCUUCAAUGCUUGUAUUGUCCAACAGGGGGCGUCUAUAACCUGAUUUAUGACCUAUGCUCUGCCUCAUCCCCCAAAGGAUUCUAUGAUUUAUUGCUAUAAAGACCAGUCAUACUGUUUGUCUGCAGGUGAAACACAAUGGACUCAUCCAGGAGAUGAACCAUCCCACUGCAGGACAUAUCGCUGUGCCUGCCAACAGGGCACUGGGCCCACCACUCGGACAAGCACGGCCUUGCAAGCGGGAAGCUGCGGUGGACGCCUCACCUUGUCCUUGCGGGG